UACAGAGGGUGCAAGCGUUGUUCGGAAUUAUUGGGCGUAAAGCGCGUGUAGGCGGCCGUGCAAGUCGGGUGUGAAAGCCCUCGGCUCAACCGAGGAAGUGCGCCCGAAACUGCAUGGCUUGAGUACCGGAGAGGAUGGCGGAAUUCCCCAAGUAGAGGUGAAAUUCGUAGAUAUCGGGAGGAACACCAGUGGCGAAGGCGGUUGCCUGGAGCUUUGCUGACGCUGAGGCGCGAAAGCGUGGGGAGCGAGUCCGG
rnacentral:rRNA from 1 species